UGAGGUUUCUGAAUCAGCUGUUGUGG
rnacentral:piRNA from 1 species